AACUAUCCAGUCGAUUUCAUCAA
rnacentral:snRNA from 1 species